GGCAAAACGUUUCGGGAAUUUGGGGAUCAUUGAAAGUUGGAACUUUGAAACUCCAAUUUCGUUGCUCCUCCCACGGAUCAUCCUCCAUCAUCUGUGUUGUCGUCGCCGGUGGCUGUGCGUUGUCACCAUCCGUCCGUCUACAGUUGCUGGCGUGUAAGUCGUGGGUUCACGGGUUUUCGAUUUCCUUGUUCUUCUUCGCCGUUCUCUCUUUCUCUCGACUAUAUUCAGAUCCUGGUAGUUUGGGAAGGCUGAUGUUUUAUUUAUCCCUUCUUCCUCCGUCAUCAUCGCUGCUUGUGAAGCUUUGGUUGCUGUUGAUUCAUUUAUAGCAUUAAAAAACAUCAUCCUCACGAUCACCCACAAAUAAGCUGACAGGUAGAUUAAGGGCCUAUGUAUGAAUUGAAGUUCUCCUCAGUUUGAGUGUUGAGGUUGCUAUGGAGUCAGUGUUCACGGCAGAUUCCCCUUCUUAUUGGGAUUUCAUUGUUGUCCUCCUUCUCCGCCCUCUCCUUGCCUUUGGAUUUGUUCUCUUCUUAAUUUCUCUGGGCUGGUUGCUGGCAUGGAAAUUAGUCCUGGUACACGUUCCUUUGGUGCAAGAGAUUUUUGGUCUCAGGAAAAAACCUGUCAAAUCUAAACCACCAACUCGUCGUCUAUCUAAAUUUUAUAGUACCAUUAAUGCUCAAAAGUCUCAAUAGCUUCGGCAUGGUAAUUUUCCUUUUCUCUUUUCUGUUUUCCUCCACCAUUAGAUUUGCUUACCCACUUGUUACUCAUAGAUGCUAUUGUAUUUUUCAGUUGAUUAGUGAACCUGACAAUUAUUUUGUGUACAGUGUGGUCCCUCUUCUAGAGUCUAUUUAUUAUUUUCAUUUUCCAGCCCCCCCCCCCCCCAAAAUACCUUGGUUUAGAGGAUCAGACAGAGCCAAGAGUUCUACUGGUUUUUGGCUUGUGCUAAGGGACUUGAAAUGGAUCUAGUGCUCGUUUUGUAGUCUAUAUUGUGAUUGGGGCAUCCAACUAUUAACAUUAAUGAUCCCCAUCAAGAUGAAUUCUUAGCAAUAUUUCUAUUAUGAGAUGUCACCAAGACAUAAAUAUCCAGUUCACAAAGGUUUUGGGUGAUAAUAUUGUUAAA